AACGUAGGUGGCAAGCGUUGUCCGGAAUUACUGGGUGUAAAGGGAGCGCAGGCGGAAUGGCAAGUUGAAUGUGAAAACUAUGGGCUCAACCCAUAGAUUGCGUUCAAAACUGCUGUUCUUGAGUAAUGUAGAGGUAGGCGGAAUUCCCGGUGUAGCGGUGGAAUGCGUAGAUAUCGGGAGGAACACCAGUGGCGAAGGCGGCCUACUGGGCAUUUACUGACGCUGAGGCUCGAAAGUAUGGGGAGCAAACAGG
rnacentral:rRNA from 1 species